GAAGAGAGAGGAAAAGGAGCGCGGAGGGGUGCGGGGAGGGGGUUGCGAGCAGAUGCUGUAGUGCCCCUGGCUCAGAGGGUGCACCUGGGUCUAUAGAGAACGAGUGAUAGAACCCACGAGUCCUUCUACCAUUGAAAUAUAUCCUGAACCACAGCCUCUUCACCGACCCCCGCCUUUUUAUUUAUUUAUUUAUUUAUUUAGGCACAGGGAUUGAACCUAGAAGCGCUUUGCCACUAAUCCACAUCCCCAGCCCGUUUUGAUUUUGUAUUUUUGAGACCGGAUCUUGCUAAGUUGCUUAGGGCCUCACUAAAGCUGCAGAAGGGUGGCUUUGUGAUCCUGCUUCAGCCACUCAACCUGCUGGAAUCCCGGCUACUCCCCAUCCCCCCCACCCCACGCCCCAAUUAAAAAAUGAGGCUUGUG